rnacentral:rRNA from 1 species
AUUGAACGCUGGCGGCAUGCCUUACACAUGCAAGUCGAACGGUAACAGGUCUUCGGAUGCUGACGAGUGGCGAACGGGUGAGUAAUACAUCGGAACGUGCCCAGACGUGGGGGAUAACGAGGCGAAAGCUUUGCUAAUACCGCAUACGAUCUAAGGAUGAAAGCAGGGGACCGCAAGGCCUUGCGCGUUUGGAGCAGCCGAUGGCAGAUUAGGUAGUUGGUGGGAUAAAAGCUUACCAAGCCGACGAUCUGUAGCUGGUCUGAGAGGACGACCAGCCACACUGGGACUGAGACACGGCCCAGACUCCUACGGGAGGCAGCAGUGGGGAAUUUUGGACAAUGGGCGAAAGCCUGAUCCAGCAAUGCCGCGUGCAGGAUGAAGGCCUUCGGGUUGUAAACUGCUUUUGUACGGAACGAAAAGGCUCUGGCUAAUACCUGGGGCACAUGACGGUACCGGAAGAAUAAGCACCGGCUAACUACGUG